rnacentral:rRNA from 1 species
GAACGCUGAAGCUUGGUGCUUGCACCGAGCGGAUGAGUUGCGAACGGGUGAGUAACGCGUAGGUAACCUGACUCUUAGCGGGGGAUAACUAUUGGAAACGAUAGCUAAUACCGCAUACAAGUCGACAUCGCAUGAUGUUGACUUGAAAGGUGCAAUUGCAUCACUAAGAGAUGGACCUGCGUUGUAUUAGCUAGUUGGUGAGGUAACGGCUCACCAAGGCGACGAUACAUAGCCGACCUGAGAGGGUGAUCGGCCACACUGGGACUGAGACACGGCCCAGACUCCUACGGGAGGCAGCAGUAGGGAAUCUUCGGCAAUGGGGGCAACCCUGACCGAGCAACGCCGCGUGAGUGAAGAAGGUUUUCGGAUCGUAAAGCUCUGUUGUAAGAGAAGAACGAGUGUGAGAGUGGAAAGUUCACACUGUGACGGUAACUUACCAGAAAGGGACGGCUAACUACGUGCCAGCAGCCGCGGUAAUACGUAGGUCCCGAGCGUUAUCCGGAUUUAUUGGGCGUAAAGCGAGCGCAGGCGGUUAGAUAAGUCUGAAGUUAAAGGCUGUGGCUUAACCAUAGUACGCUUUGGAACUGUUUAACUUGAGUGCAGAAGGGGGGAGUGGAAUUCCAUGUGUAGCGGUGAAAUGCGUAGAUAUAUGGAGG